rnacentral:rRNA from 1 species
CCUACGGGAGGCAGCAGUGGGGAAUAUUGGACAAUGGGCGAAAGCCUGAUCCAGCAAUGCCGCGUGAGUGAUGAAGGCCUUAGGGUCGUAAAGCUCUUUUACCAGGGAUGAUAAUGACAGUACCUGGAGAAUAAGCUCCGGCUAACUCCGUGCCAGCAGCCGCGGUAAUACGGAGGGAGCUAGCGUUGUUCGGAAUUACUGGGCGUAAAGCGUGCGUAGGCGGUUAUUCAAGUCAGAGGUGAAAGCCCGGGGCUCAACCCCGGAACGGCCUUUGAAACUAGAUAACUAGAAUCUUGGAGAGGUCAGUGGAAUUCCGAGUGUAGAGGUGAAAUUCGUAGAUAUUCGGAAGAACACCAGUGGCGAAGGCGACUGACUGGACAAGUAUUGACGCUGAGGUACGAAAGCGUGGGGAGCAAACAGGAUUAGAUACCCUGGUAGUCCACGCCGUAAACGAUGAUAACUAGCUGUCCGGACACUUGGUGUUUGGGUGGCGCAGCUAACGCAUUAAGUUAUCCGCCUGGGGAGUACGGUCGCAAGAUUAAAACUCAAAGGAAUUGACGG